rnacentral:tRNA from 1 species
GCAGAGAUAGCCAAGAUUGGUCUACGGCGCCAGCCUGAGGCGCUGGUCUCAUAGGAGUUCAAGGGUUCGAAUCCCUUUCUCUGCA